rnacentral:rRNA from 1 species
GAUGAACGCUGGCGGCGUGCCUAACACAUGCAAGUCGAACGGAGUCCAGCCUUUAAGACCUUCGGGUCAAAGAGGGGAAGACUGAGUGGCGGACGGGUGAGUAACACGUGGGCAACCUGGCUCAUAGAGGGGGAUAACAGAGAGAAAUUUCUGCUAAUACCGCAUAAGCACACACUGCCGCAUGGCAGAGGGUGAAAAGAGAAUCGCUAUGAGAUGGACCCGCGUCUGAUUAGCCAGUUGGCAGGGUAAGAGCCUACCAAAGCGACGAUCAGUAGCCGAUCUGAGAGGAGGAACGGCCAGAUGGGGACUGAGACACGGCCCAAACUCCGACGGGAGGCAGCAGUGGGGGAUAUUGCACAAUGGGGGGAACCCUGAUGCAGCGACGCCGCGUGAGUGAAGAAGUAUUUCGGUAUGUAAAGCUCUAUCAGCAGGGAAGAUAAUGACAGUACCUGAAUAAGAAGCCCCGGCUAACUACGUG